AUAUAUAAAAUCCAUAUUGACUUUACGUAACGAUCAUUAUUUUCACUUUCAAAGUUACCAGUAAUGUUCUUGAGCUGGAGAAAAAAGGAAGAAGAAAGCACAAAAGACCAAAUUUCCAGAUAGCCAAAGCUAACUCCUUAAAUCUCAUUAAAAAUUAACUAUACAACCAAGUGGUUUGCUGAAGUGGUGUGCCAAGUAGUGCAGAUUAGAAGCAGAAGGCUCACAAUUUAUAUAAGAUAAUCAAUCAUUUUCUUUUAUGUAUUCUAUUUUUGUAAUUACAAAGAUCAAGGGUUUAAAGUAAAAUUGAAAAGGUGAAAACAAAAGUAUGCUACAAACAAUCAAGGACAGUAAAACCCCUCUAAUAUGACAAAUAUUUUUACAGGUACUAACAACUCCCUCCAAGUGUCUAGACUAUGAUGGGAAAGAUGACAAACCUACAUGAUUACUCCUUUCAAGUGGGAGCUUUCCCAUCUCGUAACUGCCUGGAUUGUAGGCUGGAACUUCUUCAGUAGUCUCUGCCCUUUCAAGCUCUUGCAAAGCUCUUUUUGCGUAAACAGUGAAAGCAACUGUGGUAAUGAUAGCGAUAAUGCCGGAGAUGACAUUAUAUAUGAUUUCCAAAGUAGUCAAGUGAUAGUUCCCAUAUUGCACAUCAGCAAAUGUCCUUAUUAACCUACCACUGCACAAAAUUAUAGCAGCAAUUAGAGAACGGCGAUGGAGGGAGGGAAAGAAAAGCACAUUUGUAAUUUCCUAAGUAAGACAGUGAAACAACAUCAGCUGAAAAGAUCUUUCUUUUGGCUAAAAAAUAUAUGAAAAAACAUUUCAGAACUCUAGAUUUUUUCCAUAUAUUUAGGUUGUUUCCAAAUAUUAUAUAGAGAUUUCUCCUGCAGCUAACAUUACAACAAAUUCACUGCAUAUUUUUGUUAAAUGAAAACUAAUAUGCUGAUCAAACACUUAUAAGAAUAAACAAAUUAAAGAAAAAAAAGAAAGAAGGACGGACCUAUAGAUAUAGAUAAAAGCUUCUGGCACCAUUCCAGCAACUGAACCACAUAAAUAUGGCCAAAAUCUCAUACUUGUUAUCACAAUCGCAUAGUUGAAAAUUGUGUAUGGAAAUGGUGAAACUCUAAAGAGUGCAACUACUUGAAAUUGAUGGAACCAACUCCCUUCCCCAGCAAGCCUGAUCAUAGCAGCUUUCUGGGGCCAUCUUUUUAGCCAUUGCUGAACAUAAAUAGUAAGUAGUCUAUUUCAUCAUAGAAAUCUUAAAAGAAAAAGAGGAUCAUCAAAUAAAAAUCACUGAUCUUACAUGGAUGCGGUCACGAAACAGUAGCCCUAUCAAAUAGGGUAAGAUCAUUCCAAUAGUAGUUCCAACCAUAAUUAUGACAAACCCGAUACCAUAUCCAAAAAUCAUCCCAGCCAACCACAUGGAAGGUCCUGAAGGAAUUAAAAACACAGGGAACAAGGCCAGAGAAGCAACUAGCACAAGUGCAAGGACUGGACGGCCAAAGGCAGUUGCUUCCCAUUGCAUGAUAGGCAAGAGAACCUUCUCAAAAAGAAAUGGCACUCCCCAUUUCAAUAAAAUAAGAAGAAGUAUAAUCAGGAGAAUGCAUAGUGCCAAAGCUUUGAUCCACCAAAUUAAAGAUUUAAUCCUUGCAUUUGCUUCAGUUUGCAAUAUGUGGGUGUCUUCAGGUUCAGCUACUCCUGGCUCAUUGGAAAUAACAAGCCUAACAUAUUCACUGUCCCUUAAAUUCACACGGUGAUGCUCAGAGUUUGCAGCUUCUUUGCCAGACUCCUCAGAGGUCUCUGGCAUUUUUACUAGGAACCCCUGAGGCUCUCUCUCUCUCUAUAUAUAAAAAUCAAUCUAUCUGUAAUGGAAAUUGAGAAGAGGAAAUGCAAAUCGUACAAGCCGUCAGAGAAGAAGUCGCCGACGAUCGUAGGUGGCUUGAUCUUCACACUUGUUAAUUAAACAACAACAAAAACCACCAGAACCGGGAAAUGAAAAGAAAGGAAAUGCAAAUUAAAAAAAGAAAAAGCAAAUCCAAUUCCAAAUUCAAAUUCAAAAACGUAGAACAGUGGGCAGCCGAUCCAAAUUGCUGACGUCUGAAAAAGAUUGAACUUGAAGGAAAAAAGGUUGUCUUGUCUGGAUAAUAUAUGCGAGUAAAUGAAGUUUCCGC
rnacentral:misc_RNA from 1 species